ACGGGAGGCAGCAGUGGGGAAUAUUGCACAAUGGGGGAAACCCUGAUGCAGCAACGCCGCGUGAGUGAUGACGGCCUUCGGGUUGUAAAGCUCUGUCUUCAGGGACGAUAAUGACGGUACCUGAGGAGGAAGCCACGGCUAACUACGUGCCAGCAGCCGCGGUAAUACGUAGGUGGCGAGCGUUGUCCGGAUUUACUGGGCGUAAAGGGAGCGUAGGCGGAUUUUUAAGUGAGAUGUGAAAUACUCGGGCUUAACCUGAGUGCUGCAUUUCAAACUGGAAGUCUAGAGUGCAGGAGAGGAGAAGGGAAUUCCUAGUGUAGCGGUGAAAUGCGUAGAGAUUAGGAAGAACACCAGUGGCGAAGGCGCUUCUCUGGACUGUAACUGACGCUGAGGCUCGAAAGCGUGGGGAGCAAACAGGAUUAGAUACCCUGGUA
rnacentral:rRNA from 1 species